rnacentral:rRNA from 1 species
UACCGUCGGGAGCUUGCUCCCUUUGCGAAAGUGACGUUAAUACCUGAUUAUAUCGCUGAAUGGCAUCAUUUGGCGAUCAAAGGUGGGGAUCUUCGGACCUGCCGGAUUGAGAUCGACCUAUUCCCUAUCAGCUUGUUGGUGAGGUAAUGGCUUACCAAGGCUACGACGGGUAGCGGGACUGAGAGGUUGGCCCGCCACAUCGGAACUGAGACACUGUCCGGACACCUACGGGUGGCUGCAGUAACGAAUAUUCCGCAAUGGGCGAAAGCCUGACGGAGCAAUGCCGCGUGGAGGACGAAUUCCCUCGGGAUGUAAACUCCUUUUAGGUUGAUGAAAGCGAAGAUAGUUAAUAGCUAUCUAAGUUGAUCUAGGCCAGAAAAAGCCUCGGCUAACUCCGUGCCAGCAGCCGCGGUAAUACGGAGGAGGCAAGCGUUGUUCGGAAUUAUUGGGCUUAAAGCGCGUGUAGGCGGCUUGGUAAGUACUUUGUGAAAUACCUCGGCUCAACCGAGGACUUGCUUGGUAUACUGCUGAGCUUGAGGCAGGUAGAGGUGCUUGGAACUCUAGGUGGAGCGGUGAAAUGCGUUGAUAUCUAGAGGAAUGCCGGUGGCGAAAGCGGGGCACUGGGCCUGACCUGACGCUGAGACGCGAAAGCAUGGGUAGCGAACGGGAUUAGAUACCCCGGUAGUCCAUGCCGUAAACGAUGCGCACUAGAUUCAUGUACCUCUGACGGUUUGUGAAUCGAAGCAAAAGUGAUAAGUGCGCCGCCUGGGGAGUACGGCCGCAAGGCUAAAACUCAAAGGAAUUGACGGGGGCUCACACAAGCGGUGGAGGAUGUGGCUUAAUUCGAGGCAACGCGAAGAACCUUACCUGGGUUUGACAUACUAGAAUUAGCUCUGUGAAAGCAGAGUGACGCGGCUUGCCGUGGAACUAGAACAGGUGCUGCAUGGCUGUCGUCAGCUCGUGUCGUGAGGUGUCAGGUUAAGUCCUUCAACGAGCGAAACCCUUGUCGUUAGUUGCUAACAGAUAAUGCUGAGCACUUUAGCGAGACUGCCGGUGUUAAACCGGAGGAAGGUGGGGAUGACGUCAAGUCCUCAUGGCCUUUAUGCCCAGGGCUGCACACGUCCUACAAUGGGUUGGUACAGAGCGAAGCAAGACCGCGAGGUGGAGCAAAUCGCUAAAAACUGCCCUCAGUUCGGAUUGUAGUCUGAAAUUCGACUACAUGAAGUUGGAAUCGCUAGUAAUCGCGUAUCGGCUACGACGCGGUGAAUAUGUUC